UACAGAGGUCUCAAGCGUUUGUUCGGAUUCAUUGGGCGUAAAGGGUGCGUAGGCGGCGCGGUAAGUCGGGUGUGAAAUUUCGAGGCUUAACUUCGAAACUGCAUUCGAUACUGCCGUGCUUGAGGACCGGAGAGGAGACUGGAAUUUACGGUGUAGCGGUGAAAUGCGUAGAUAUCGUGAAGGAAGACCAGUGGCGAAGGCGG
rnacentral:rRNA from 1 species